rnacentral:lncRNA from 1 species
UCGGAUAGUGUCUUGAACGCACAAACAAAAUGCCGCUAUUUGGAUAUAACUAUGGAUUAUUUUGAACCAAACCAACAUUUGUUAUUGAAGUAGCAGUCCUGGGAGUGCAUUCUGACGAAGAACACCAAAGAUUGGGACUGCUGGAUUGGAGUGUGAGAUUCCCCGAUGGGUUAGGGUGCUAACUUCCUGAUCUGGUAACUCUUCCAAGAGGUUGCCAGUAAAAUAAGGAAGUUAACCUGGGUACCGGCGGCAGGAGUGCACCAGAGUCCUGAGACCGUGCAUGUGGAGAGAGAUAACAUACACAUUUCUCUCAUGUUCCUGGGGUGCUGGUGGGAGAAAUAGACCAGACAGGAUGGUAAUAGCAGCUCAGUCACCCUGCUCCUCUGCACAAUCCAAGGCCUUCCAGUCAACGCUCGCAUCCACUACAAGAUUAUGGUGCUUGUCUACGGAGCAGCAAGAGGAACUGCCCCUCACUACCUUCAGG